ensembl:lncRNA OLMALINC oligodendrocyte maturation-associated long intergenic non-coding RNA
UUUUUCCUUUUUUUUUUUUUCCCGGGGAGUCGGCCUCGGGGCUCUGCUCUCCUACCUCAGUCUGCCCUACCCUGGAAUGGGGAAAAUGCGGACAUGCCACUCAGUCCGGCCGCGAACAGUGCUCCAGAACUCAGAGAGUUUUCCAGACGGGUGGAGAUCGCGUUCCCUGCCCGCCGAGGUCCCAUCGCUUCCCUGCUGGGAAGACAAAUGAGGCGCUUUAGCCGUCUCCACGGCCAGCCCCUCCCUCAUAACCCGAGAUUCUUUGUGGGCUCUUAGUCCAUAGCUGCCUUUGAGGUGGUGUAGACCUUGCUAACCAGGACGGCCCAGUAGGCAGAGCUCAUUUUUAUUCCUGUCUGCAAUCGUGCAAAAACGCCUCUUAUGGAAAAGCCAGAGCGCCAGGAGUCAGCAAAACACACUAAAGAUUGGGCAGUCACUGGGGAGAACAUGGCCUGAAGCAACUGAAGAUCCACAAAAGAAGUGAAAAUAGCCUUAACUGAUGACAUUCCACCAUUGAGAUUUGUUCCUGCCCCACCCUAACUGAUACGAUAUAUUCUCCCCCGCCCUUAAGAAGACUCAGCCCGCCUGCACCCAGGUGAAAUAUACAGCCUUGUUGCUCACACAAAGCCUGUUUGGUGGUUUCUUCACACGGAUGCAUGUGACAUUUGGUGCUGAAGACCCAGGACAGGAGGACUCCUUUGGGAGACCAGUGCCCUGUUGUCGCCCUCACUCCGUGAGGAGAUCCACCUAUGAUCUCAGGUCCUCAGACCAACCAGCCCAAGGAACAUCUUGCCAAUUUCAAAUCGGGUUGUCAGAAUCUGCAGAGAAGCUUCCUCCAAUCUCCAGCCUGAGAGUUCAGGCCUGGUUACCAGCAUUCUAGAAGCUGAAAGAGGAGAAGUUCUUGGAAGACUAAGAAGUCCAACAUUCGAUGGCACACAAGGAGAUUAUAUCCCGCACCUGGCUUGGAGGAUCCUACGCCCAUGGAGCCUCGCUCAUUGGUGGCACAGCAGUCUGAGAUCAAACUGCAAGGUGGCAGCGAGGCUGGGGGCAGGGCGCCCACCAUUGCCGAGGCUUGAGUAGGUAAACAAAGCACCCGGGAAGCUCGAACUGGGUGGAGCCCACCCCAGCUCAAGGAGGCCUGCCUGCCUCUGUAGACUCCACCUCUGGGGGCAGGGCAUAGCCAAACAAAGGCAGCUGAAACCUCUGCAGACUUAAAUGUCCCUAUCUGACAGCUUUGAAGAGAGUAGUGGUUCUCCCAGCACGCAGCUUGAGAUCUGAGAAUGGACAGACUGCCUCCUCAAGUGGGUCCCUGACCCACAAGUAGCUUAACUGGGAGGCAACCCCCAGUAGGGGCAGACUGACACCUCACACGGCCAGGCACUCCUCUGAGACAAAACUUCCACAGGAAUGAUCAGGCAGCAACAUUUGCUGUUCACCAAUAUCUGCUGUUCUGCAGCCUCCGCUGCUGAUACCCAGGCAAACAGGGUCUGGAGUGGACCUCCAGCAAACUCCAACAGACCUGCAGCUGAGGGUCCUGACUGUUAGAAGGAAAACUAACAAACAGAUAGGACAUCCACACCAAAACCCCAUCUGUACGUCACCAUCAUCAAAGACCAAAGGUAGAUAAAAUCACAAAGAUGGGGAAAAAACAGAGCAGAAAAACUGGAAACUCUAAAAAUCAGAGUGCCUCUCCUUCUCCAAAGGAAUGCAGCUCCUCACCAGCAGUGGAACAAAGCUGGAUGGAGAAUGACUUUGACGAGUUGAGAGAAGAAGGCUUCAGAUGAUCAAACUAGUCCGAGCUAAAGGAGGAAGUUCGAACCCAUGGCAAAGAAGUUAAAAACCUUGAAAAAAAAUUAGAUGAAUGGCUAACUAGAAUAACCAAUGCAGAGAAGUCCCUAAAGGACCUGAUGGAGCUGAAAACCACGGCACAAGAACUAUGUGACGAAUGCACAAGCCUCAGUAGCCGAUUCAAUCAACUGGAAGAAAGGGUAUCAGUGUUGGAAGAUCAAAUGAAUGAAAUGAAGUGAGAAGAGAAGUUUAGAGAAAAAAGAAUAACAAGAAAUGAACAAAGCCUCCAAGAAAUAUGGGACUAUGUGAAAAGACCAAAUCUACAUCUGAUUGGUGUACCUGAAAGUGACGGGGAGAAUGGAACCAAGUUGGAAAACACUCUGCAGGAUAUUAUCCAGGAGAACUUCCCCAAUCUAGCAAGGCAGGCCAACAUUCAAAUUAAGGAAAUACAGAGAACACCACAAAGAUACUCCUUGAGAAGAGCAACUCCAAGACACAUAAUUGUCAGAUUCACCAAAGUUGAAAUGAAGGAAAAAAUGUUAAGGGCAGCCAGAGAGAAAGGUUGGGUUACCCACAAAGGGAAGCCCAUCAGACUAACAGCUGAUCUCUUGGCAGAAACUCUACAAGCCAGAAGAGAGUGGGGGCCAAUAUUCAACAUUCUUAAAGAAAAGAAUUUUCAACCCAGAAUUUCAUAUCCAGCCAAACUAAGCUUCAUAAGUGAAGGAGAAAUAAAAUCCUUUACAGACAAGCAAAUGCUGAGAGAUUUUGUCACCACCAGGCCUGCCCUAAAAGAGCUCCUGAAUGAAGCACUAAACAUGGAAAGGAACAACCGGUACCAGCCACUGCAAAAACAUGUCAAAUGGUAAAGACCAUUGAGGCUAGGAAGAAACUGCAUCAACUAACGAGCAAAAUAACCAGCUAACAUCAUAAUGACAGGAUCAAAUUCACACAUAAUAAUAUUAACCUUAAAUGUAAAUGGGCUAAAUGCCCCAAUUAAAAGACACAGACUGGCAAAUUGAAUAAAGAGUCAAGACUCAUCAGUGUGCUGUAUUCAGGAAACCCAUCUCACGUGCAGAGACACACAUAGGCUCAAAAUAAAGGGAUGGAGGAAGAUCUACCAAGCAAAUGGAAAACAAAAAAAGGCAGGGGUUGCAAUCCCAGUCUCUGACAAAGCAGACUUUAAACCAACAAAGAUCAAAAGAGACAAAGAAGGCCAUUACAUAAUGGUAAAGGGAUCAAUUCAACAAGAAGAGCUAACUAUCCUAAACAUAUAUGCACCCAACACAGGAGCACCCAGAUUCAUAAAGCAAGUCCUUAGAGACCUACAAAGAGACUUAGACUCCCACACAAUAAUAAUGGGAGACUUUAACACCCCACUGUCAACAUUAGACAGAUCAACGAGACAGAAAGUUAACAAGGAUAUCCAGGAAUUGAACUCAGCUCUGCACCAAGCAUACCUAAUAGACAUCUACAGAACUCUCCACCCCAAAUCAACAGAAUAUACAUUCUUUUCAGCACCACACCACACCUAUUCCAAAACUGACCACAUAGUUGGAAGUAAAGCACUCCUCAGCAAAUGUAAAAGAACAGAAAUUAUAACAAACUGUCUCUCAGACCACAGUGCAAUCAAACUAGAACUCAGGAUUAAGAAACUCACUCAAAACCGCUCAAGUACAUGGAAACUGAACAACCUGCUCCUGAAUGACUACUGGGUAUAUAACAAAAUGAAGGCAGAAAUAAAGAUGUUAUUUGAAACCAAUGAGAACAAAGACACAACAUACCAGAAUCUCUGGGACACAUUCAAAGCAGUGUGUAGAGGGAAAUUUAUAGCACUAAAUGCCCACAAGAGAAAGCAGGAAAGAUCUAAAAUUGACACCCUAACAUCACAAUUAAAAGAACUAGAGAAGCAAGAGCAAACACAUUCAAAAGCUGGCAGAAGGCAACAAAUAACUAAGAUCAGAGCAGAACUGAAGGAAAUAGAGACACAAAAAACCCUUCAAAAAAUCAAUGAGUCCAGGAGCUGGUUUUUUGAAAAGAUCAACAAAAUUGAUAGACCACUAGCAAGACUAAUAAAGAAGAAAAGAGAGAAGAAUCAAAUAGACGCAAUAAAAAAAUGAUAGAGGGGAUAUCACCACCGAUCCCACAGAAAUACAAACUACCAUCAGAGAAUACUAUAAACACCUCUAUGCAAAUAAACUAGAAAAUCUAGAAGAAAUGGAUAAAUUCCUCGACACAUACACCCUCCCAAGACUAAACCAGGAAGAAGUUGAAUCUCUGAAUAGACCAAUAACAGGCUCUGAAAUUGAGGCAAUAAUUAAUAACUUACCAACCAAAAAGAGUCCAGGACCAGAUGGAUUCACAGCCAAAUUCUACCAGAGAUACAAGGAGGAGCUGGUACCAUUCCUUCUGAAACUAUUCCAAUCAAUAGAAAAAGAGGGAAUCCUCCCUAACUCAUUUUAUGAGGCCAGCAUCAUCCUGAUACCAAAGCCUGGCAGAGACACAACAAAAAAAGAGAAUUUUAGACCAAUAUCCCUGAUGAACAUCGAUGCAAAAAUCCUCAACAAAAUACUGGCAAACCAAAUCCAGCAGCACAUCAAAAAGCUUAUCCACCAUGAUCAAGUGGGCUUCAUCCCUGGGAUGCAAGGCUGGUUCAAGAUACGCAAAUCAAUAAAUAUAAUCCAUCAUAUAAACAGAACCAACGACAAAAACUACAUGAUUAUCUCAAUAGAUGCAGAAGACCUUUGACAAAAUUCAACAACGCUUCAUGCUAAAAACUCUCAAUAAAUUAGGUAUUGAUGGGACGUAUCUCAAAAUAAUAAGAGCUAUCUAUGACAAACCCACAGCCAAUAUCAUACUGAAUGGAGAAAAACUGGAAGCAUUCCUUUUGAAAUCUGGCACAAGACAGGGAUGCCCUCUCUCACCACUCCUAGUCAACAUAGUGUUGGAAGUUCUGGCCAGGGCAAUCAGGCAGGAGAAGGAAAUAAAGGGUAUUCAAUUAGGAAAAGAGGAAGUCAAAUUGUCCCUGUUUGCAGAUGACAUGAUUGUAUAUCUAGAAAACCCCAUUGUCUCAGCCCAAAAUCUCCUUAAGCUGAUAGGCAACUUCAGCAAAGUCUCAGGAUACAAAAUCAAUGUGCGAAAAUCACAAGCAUUCCUAUACGCCAAUAACAGACAAACAGAGAGCCAAAUCAUGAGUGAACUCCCAUUCACAACUGCUUCAAAGAGAAUAAAAUACCUAGGAACCCAACUUACAAGGGAAGUGAAGGACCUCUUCAAGGAGAACUACAAACCACUGCUCAAUGACAUAAAAGAGGAUACAAACAAAUGGAAGAAAAUUCCAUGCUCAUGAGUAGGAAGAAUCAAUAUUGUGAAAAUGGCCAUACUGCCCAAGGUAACUUAUAGAUUCAAUGCCAUCCCCAUCAAGCUACCAUGACUUUCUUCACAGAAUUGGAAAAAACUACUUUAAAGUUCAUAUGGAACCAAAAAAGGGGCCGGAUUACCAAGUCAAUCCUAAGCCAAAAGCACAAAGCUGGAGGCAUCAUGCUACCUGACUUCAAACUAUACUACAAGGCUACAGUAACCAAAACAGCAUGGUACUGGUACCAAAACAGCAUGGUACUGGUACCAAAACAGAGAUACAGAUCAAUGGAACAGAACAGAGCCCUCAGCAAUAAUGCCACAUAUCUAUAACCAUGUGAUCUUUGACAAACCUGACAAAAACAAGAAAUGGGGAAAGGAUUCCCUAUUUAAUAAAUGGUGCUGGGAAAACUGGCUAGCCAUAUGUAGAAAGCUGAAACUGGAUCCUUUCCUUACAUCUUAUACAAAAAUUAAUUGAAGAUGGAUUAAAGACUUAAAUGUUAGACCUAAAACCAUAAAAACCCUAGAAGAAAACCUAGGCAAUACUAUUUAGGAAAAAGGCAUGGGCAAGGACUUCAUGUCUAAAACACCAAAAGCAAUGGCAACAAAAGCCAAAAUUGACAAAUGGGAUCUAAUUAAACUCAAGAGCUUCUGCACACCAAAAGAAACUACCAUCAGAGUGAACAGGCAACCUACAGAAUGGGAGAAAAUUUUUGCAAUCUACUCAUGUGACAAAGGGCUAAUAUCCAGAAUC